GCGUGCCGGCCGGGGGACGAACUGGGAACGGCUCCUUCGGGGGCCUUCCCCGAGCGUCGAAUAGUCAACUCAAAACUAGUACGGACAAGGGGAAUCCGACUGUUUAAUUAAAACAAAGCAUUGCGAUGGUUCCUGCGAAUGCUAACACAAUGUGAUUUCUGCCCAGUGCUCUGAAUUGAUACCACUGAUU